UUCGUAGGCGGUGCGGCAAGUCGGGAGUGAAAUCUAUGGGCUCAACCCAUAGGCUGCUUCCGAAACUGCCGUGCUGGAGUGUGGGAGAGGCGCGUGGAAUUGCAGGUGUAGCGGUGAAAUGCGUAGAUAUUUGCAGGAACACCCGUGGCGAAAGCGGCGCGCUGGACCACUACUGACGCUGAGGAACGAAAGCUAGGGGAGCAAACAGGAUUAGAUACCCUGGUAGUCCUAGCCCUAAACGAUCAGGACUUGGGGUGCCGCCCGUUCGGGCGUCGUCCCGGAGCUAACGCGUUAAGUCCUGCACCUGGGGAGUACGGUCGCAAGACUGAA
rnacentral:rRNA from 1 species